UCGCUUAUAAAAGUCAGAUCAAUAAGUUAUUUUUGUUAAAUUUGGGGAUACACGACUCGUGUCAGCAUGGUCUACAAAAAGAAUCAAUUUGUUUUCUUAAUAGCACUGAUGGUAUUUACCACUGCAGUUUGUUUUCCGAAAUAUAGAAAAGUUAGAGAUAACACUGUUGUUAAAACAAGCAACGAAUUUAGUGGCGAAGAUGUCAUUUAUUUGGAAAAGAGAUCACUAAACCUAAAAGGAAAUAAGUGUAAAAGGAACGAGAUUUAUAAUGCAGUAACGAAACAAUGUGAACCUAUAGAUCCAGAUAUAGGAACAGACGGCUGCUGUAAUGGUGGAGUCGGUAAAAAGUAAACCGUACCACUAUCUCAUUGCGUCAGUUAAAAAAACAGUUGAAGGAAUUAUACAAGAUCGAGACUAGCGAUAAACGCUCGUUAUACCCAGUUAGGAAUAUGACAGUACUUAUCCAUUCGUUGGAUGUGUUUGAUGUUUUUGAGCUUUUGAUUUUGCCAUUUGAUAAGGGACUUUCCAUUAUCAAUUUUCCUUAGAGUUCAGUAUUUUUGCGAUUUUACUUUUUACAUACAAAAGCAGUACACGAUAUUGCCCUGUAAGUGUCAAGUCCUGACUGUGUCAUAUUUAAAUAUUUAUGUUCCAAAUCAUUAUCUGUUUUUCUUAUUCUAGUAAAUGUGUAAAUAAGUCUUUUUUAUUCUAACUUUCUAGAGUAUUAAUUGAUGUGAUAGUGUGAUCUGUUUUCCAGUAACCUUGUAACCUUGUAUUUGUAAAGUUAAAUAAAGCAUUUUUUUAAAUUGUACUUUAAAAGAUGUCGUAUUGUGUAUACUAGUAGUGCUGCCCCACAUUUUUAAACAAUAAUGUUCACAUUAAAUGGCCAUGAACCUCAUUUAAAAGUGGUGUGCACCUUGCACAGAAAUUGUUCAGAUAGGAAUAUGAGGAAAAAUUAUCACAAAAGGGUUGACCGUUACCAUGAGUCUCUGCCUCAACUUACAAUCGACAUGUUCAGCGGGAACUUCCAUUUAUGAAUAAACUGUUAACAAAAUUAGAAUUAUGGAUCUACUUAGGCUUUUCUACCUCAGAAAUAGAUAACCUUAGCUGUAUUUGGCAAACUUUUGAGGAAUUUGUGGUCCUCAAUGCUCUUAAACUUGACCUUUAAACAUUUUUUUAUUUGAGCGUCACUGAUGAGUCUUUAGUAGACGAAACGUGCGUCUGGCGUAAAUGUUAGAUAGCAGAAUAAUCGUCUGAUGAUGAACCGACUUGCUCUAUUUUGACCUAUUGUAUGAGGGUGGAUUCGCCUGUCAAUAAUGACACGCUUAUCAAGAGACGCUUACAACAUCGACGUAUCCGAUUUCUUAAGGUAGAUUCUUGGUAUACCGCCAUCUUGGAUUGUACAAUCACAGUACAAAAUCGGUCUAGUUAUUUGCCUAAAUCUGCAAAUUUGGAGACAGAUUUGCAAUUCAAUGGUUAGACUGUUUUUUCUAAUUGAAGAGAACUUGUUAAUUAAUCGUAUUAUUCAAAAUAUUUUAACAAAAUCAAUUAUUUUGGUAUAAAAAAAAAAAAAAAAAUCAAAUGAGCCAUUUAAUGGGAAAUAACUCUUUUAGUACAAAAUUUAUACUGGGCUAACAGGGAAUUUUUUUAUUUUUACUUGUAGCAAGAAACCAAGUUCGGUGACACCAUGUUUUCUUUUUAUUUUCUUAAAACAUAUUAUGAAACCUUUCUUCUCACAAUUUAUUUCAAAAUUCUAUCUCAUAGAAUUUUUUUUAUGCACACUAAUGUGUUUUUUCAUGAACAAACUAACCAAAUUUUGGCAAUAUCAAAGACCCAUAGCUUGAAAAAUAGCGCGGUGACCCAUACUUUUUAUUAAAUUUUUUAAAAGAGCAUAAUAAAAUCUUCAUUUUGGCAAAUUGUGAAAAAAUUCUGUCUCAAAAAAUAUAUACUUGUGAUCUACCUUAAGACGACGUUUACAAUAUUGUUUCGUUCGCUAAUUUGAAUUGAUUUACCAGAUUUGAACAUCGGUCAACUAAUGUUGUCUUUGAUAAAUAUGACAUUUAAUAUGCACAAAAAUACACCAAGAUGUCGUUAAAUGUAAUUUGAUAACAUUUAUUUAUCAAUCUCAUUCGAUUUAUUAAUUUCAAACAGCGGUAUACUACUGUUGCCUUUAUUUAUACCCUUUAAUUUAAUGCGUUUCAAUAACAUAAGUUUGUUACCCCAAUUUAGUUUUUUGUCCAUGGAUUUAUGAGUUUUGAACAGCGGUAUACUACUGUUGCCUUUAUGUAACAUCGCUGAAAGACCCCUCCUGAUUUACUGAAAACCUUCUUUCUGCAUUGGUAAUAAUAUCUCGGUGUAGAUUAAAUAUACCUGAUAUUCCUUUUCUUGUUUCAAUUUAUAUUUUUUCAUUUGUUAUGGAUUCGAAUUGACAGAUAACGAUUUCUAUGAAAUAAUAUGUUAUGGCAUAUCAGAUCAUAACAGCAACGAUUUACAAUGCAUUUGUUUGUUCAAUUAAAUAUAUAGAUACACUUAUAAUGCAUUGAUAAUGCUAAGUAGCAUUAUACAAACUGAGAGUUAUCUCUCGUUACAAGGUAAAAUAACAACACAAAAUAUUUCAAAUAUAGAUGCUUUAUAUGUCAUCCAUUACACAUACGUAAUGACGCUGAAGUAUAGCGUAAGUCACCCUUAUAGGUUACAAUACACAAUUAGAUUUUAUGGGCGCAGCCAUUUUAUGAACAUAACAUGGUAUUCAGAAUUAAGAGUAUGGCUAAUCCUGAUUGGUCGAUAUGUGCGCCCGUUAUUUUUUUUUUAUUAUAAGAGACUUCUUGCACUCUGCUUUAUACAAGGCAAAAUAAUAAUUAUUCCGUAGCCCUCAAGGCACUGAGAUAACCUAUUUAACGCUAGGACAAGACACGUAUUUUUAAGGGCAAAAUUCAUAGGCAUGGGAGAUAAGUACAAAUUACGUUAAGAAAAGCAACGCGAACAUAUAUUUUUUGGACCAAAAAAUACUGUCCCAAUAACUUUUCUUUGAUUCUAGUAAGGUUUCGUUAAAAAAAUCAACUUUCUAAAGUCUGUAUCUCGAAAAAGGCUACCAUUGUCGCCUAUGGAGAAAUUAAUUGUUUAUUUCAAUCUGUAGACAUCUCAUAUAGAAGGGUCUUACUAUACUAAUUUAAAAAAAAAAAAAAAUGAAGAAUCUACCGUAAAUAAAUUUUUGUGAUUUAUUUUUAAAUAUGAAAUUGACGUUGUUGCCUUGUUGGUUAAUUUUGAAAAGAAGAAUAUGUGUCAACAAAAAAAGAAAAGAAUAGAAAUGGCAAGAACAUAUGUUUAUUUGUUUUCAUAGAGUAAUAAUCGGGCACAAGGUCUGUUUUUGUUUUUAUUCAAAAUUAAAAUUUUCACGAUAGAUGAUUUGAAAAUAAAAUUCAAUACACUUAUGAAUGUUUACGUCUUAGUCUUCAGGUGAAUUACGGAAACUGACAUCAAAAUUUUAUUAAAUUCAGAACGUUACCGAUUUAAUUGGGAUGAACAGUUCAACAGUUCAUAUCCCCCCACAGUUCCUAACAUUUUAAUUUAUUUUUAUUUUCUUUACAGCGGUAAUAAAAAAUCAAAGGGAAGCGUAAACACUUAUAAGUGUGAAAAUUGUUAUUCAAAAGUCUAUAAAUGGCAUUAAUUUGCUACUGGGGGUCAAUUUGAAUUUAACCGAAUGAAUACAUAAUAUUUAGUUUACAUGUUGAUGUUACUUUAUCACUUAAAAUAAGUAAUCAUUUAUACGCCAGUAGCAAAUAAAAUGUGAAUAAAAAUAUUUAGUUUCUUUAAAUUUCACUCAUUAUAUUUUAAAUGGUCAAAUACUAUAUAAAUUGAAAUUAGUUACUCUUAAACAGGACAUUAAACCAAACACCGUCAAUACGUGAGGAUGUUUUAUUUCGGAAAAGGUCUGAUUUUCAUUUUAGUCAUCUCUACAACGAUGGGUUUUGAGAAAAAAAAGGAAUAUGGUAUAUUGAGAGUCCUACACAACCUGAAUACAAUGGAACGUCCUGAUUUGAAUCUUCUCGAAACGAGAGGAACAAUGAAUUCUGCUAAGUGUGCUAAGAAGAAUAAAGUGUUUAAUGCAACAACAGGAAAAUGCAAAAAAUGUCGGGAUGGCGAAAUCUUUCGCAAAGAAACUCUAGAUUGUAUAGUAAAUGGUAUUGGAGGUUUUGGUGGAGCUGGAAUUGGCAGAAAAUAAGGAAUCUACAUACAUGAUCAUAUUUACCCUUUUGAUUAAAAAAUAACCACUACUUAAAAAAGAAACAAAUAGAAAAAACAAAAAAGGAAUUCAAUUUUAGAUUAUUUAAAAAACCAAAUUGUUCGAAAUGCAUUUUUUUUUGUUAUACAAGCUUCGAAUAUAUUUUUAGGAAUGUGUUGGCUUUUUCUCUUAUAAUAAGUACACUUCAAAUUAGUUACUUUUACAUAAUAUGUGAACACACUGUAUGUCUUUGAUCCUCUUAUCAGCUAAUUUGCUAUUUAAAUAAACUUUCAAUUUGUUAAGCAUACUUAUCAAUAUCGGGUCUCUGUAUUCUGCCUCUAUUGUGAGACAUAAUAACGUGUCAUUGUAGUCUUAUAUCUUUUCAUACCAAAGUGUAAACUGUGAAUUGACCGUUUGUGUCCUUUUCCAAAUUAUCAGCGUUUUACCAAGUGUGGAUUUACAUGAAGGGAUAUACAUGCAUAGCAGGAGACCCUAUCUUGUUUUUAUUCGAUUCCCUCCGUUCUUUUGUUACUGUGAUUUGUCUUUUCAAUCGAAUUAUAAGAUUAGAACAUUAGUAAACUAGUCAAAUUGAUAUUUACCGCACUUCCAAAUUUGAAAUUCACGCCCGAGGUACACAAAUAUAUGCUGAUUUCUAUUAAAAAAAAACCCCACUGAUAAUGACCAAUGUCUAAUGUGAUCAGCAUAAUAGAUAUAUAUCAAAUCUGAUGAUACCAAAUACAUAUAUAGCACCCGAACACUUAUGUCAGGACACACCUUGCUCGGUAUUAGGAUGCGAAUUAUUAACAAGUAGAAAUAUUCCAAUCAAAAUAUCAUUUAUUUGAAACGAAGAUCAAAAUUCUUUUCAACAGAACAGGGAUGAUAAUCUUAUAAAGAGUAACAUAUAAAUGCCCCUGAUUUAUUUCCCCUGAUAAAAAGUCAGCCUACAAAAAAAGUGGCGUACAUAAAAGGCCACUUACAAAAGAUGCUGAAUCAUAAAAAGGCCACUUUCAAAAAGUAACAUAUCAUAAAAAGACAUUAACAACAUAUUGGAAAAAAUCAUAAAAAUAAUAUUCACAAAACUCACAUCAUAUUUAAAUAUACAAGAUGGCAAGUUGUUGGGGCGAGGGUGGGAUAAAAAAAAAUGGCAACCGAAAAUUUGCGAUCUUUCUUGUCAGGGGAUAAAUUUUUACGAUGGGACAAUCUGUUAUCUGAUUGGUUGGUUAAAAACAGAUGAAGAUAAUUAUGCCAUUUACACUCAGUCCAAAUUGACUGUUUAAUUCAAAUAGAAUAUUUCCACAUAGACAUAAAUGAAUUUAUAAGAUAAAUAAUAUUUUAUGGCUAAUGUGAUCAGCGUAAUAGAAAUAUAUCAAAGCUUAGGAUACCAAAUAUAGAACCCACCCUAUGACCAAUUAAAAAAAAAAGAAAAGUUCUGAUCAAAAAGUCAUAUAUUAAAAACGACGAUCAAAAUCAUUUAAACAACAGGGGAGAUAAUCUUACAAGGGAUAACAUGUAAAUUCCCCUGAUGAAAAGCCAGCCCACGAAAAAAGGUCAAAACGAAAUACAGGUUUUACUUAAAGCUGAAUGAGCCCACGACACCAUAGAGAUAAGUAUCAGAAAACUAAAAUGGAAAAAGAGAAAAAAAAGUUUAGGUGUUUCUGGUUUAUAAUAUAGAUUAGACUGUUUGUAAUUCUAAUUUGAAUUGUUUUACACUUAUCAUUGUGAUAUCCUUUAUAUUUUUUUGAUCGAUGUGAGCCAUAAUAAUUUGCCUUUAGCUGCCAAUUUGUUUCAAUUUGUCAAUGUAAGCCGAGAAACAUUGCAGCUGAAAUAUUCAUUUGCAAGUGAAUAAUACGACCUCAUUGAAUGCGUAUUCAUGCGACCUUCAAUCUUAUUUCUUAGCUAGGGAUAGUUUAGUCAAUGUAUUCAGCUAUUUAUAUGCCAAUGAGACAAUCUUCAUUCAAGUUGCAAUUUGUAAAAACUUAACAAUGAUAGAUAAAAACGGCCUUUAAAAGGAAGCAUUGGUUCACACCGAACUGCAAGAAUUCACUGAAAAUGAAAGACUGCUUGUUCUGUGCAAUAGGCUUCUCAGAUAUAUGUUUUCAUUAGGAAUUCAUUACGUUCAUUAAAAGCGCACAAUUGCAUGAUCGUUUAAUUCCAAAUAAAACACAAGAUCUACAACUACACAUACUCUAUAUUAUGUCAGCACGAAACAAUGGUUUGGGUAAUAGAACACAAAGAAAACGCACAGGUUGAUUUUCUGAUUUCGACACGGAUUUACUCAAAAUAUUUUUAGGUCAAUACUUGUAUAACCUCAACAAAACAUCUAAACGAUUGCCAUCCCAAAAUUAGUACAAUAAUAAAGUAGGUAAGAACUUUAAAAAUGAAUUCUUCAAGCUUUUUAAACUCUUAAAUUAAAUUAAAUCCCAGUGUAUUUAUUUUUAUCGAAACAUGUGUAUGAAAAGGGUUAAAUAUAGAUUAUAACAAAAGAUUAAUCUACAUAUAAUAAUAAAAUUAAUUUAAAUUUAUUUUAUUAUGAUUUUAAUGACGCAUGUGUUAUUGGUGCGUUCGCAUCAACAUAGGACUACGCAAAUUCUAUUCGAGGAUUGAACACGAUUUUGUAGUUUAUUGACUUGUCAACUGGGCCUAUGUACUAAUUAUAAAUCAAAGUUCAUGCUAGUAAAGUUUGACACUUACAUUUGUUAGUUUGAAUUAAUCCUCAUAAAUGGAAACAUUGCGAUUUUUUUUUAUUAAAGAAGGUGAUUUGAAUAAAAAGGUUUGGUCCAAGGUUUUCGUCAAUCAAACCAGGAGAUUAGACGUAACGCCAUAUUAAAUUUGAACUAACUCAUCUUACCUACCAUUCACGUUAUUGAAUUCAUGUCAAGGAACAGACAAGACAAAUGAUCAAAUUGAUCUACUUCGUAACUUGUUAUUGGAAGAUGAAAUCAAAGAAUGUGACAAAGGAUUCUCUUACAAUGUACUGACAGAAGAAUGUGAAAAUGAUGAUGAUAAAUCCAACCGUUCUGGAAGACCAGAAAAGCUAACGGACCCCGUGAAUGUCCUUCGUAAACUUUUGUUGGGAGAUAGAGAGCAAUACCAGUGCAACGAAGAAGGGUUUUCUUACAAUAGAUUGACAAGAAAAUGUGAAGAUGACGAUGAAAGAUCCAAUCUUUCUGAAAGAAAUGGAUGUUGUAAUGGUGGCAACAGUGGUUAAAACAGAAGAAACACAUAAUUAUUGUUAUAAAUAAAUAUAUAGAUGCAUCGUCA